rnacentral:rRNA from 1 species
GAUGAACGCUGGCGGCGUGCUUAACACAUGCAAGUCGAACGGAAAGGCCCUGCUUUUGUGGGGUGCUCGAGUGGCGAACGGGUGAGUAACACGUGUGUAACCUGCCCUUGACUUUAGGAUAACUUCAGGAAACUGGGGCUAAUACCGGAUCGUAGCUCCUGCUGCAUGGUGGGGGUUGGAAAGUUUCGGCGGUUGGGGAUGGACUCGCGGCUUAUCAGCUUGUUGGUGGGGUAGUGGCUUACCAAGGCUUUGACGGGUAGCCGGCCUGGGAGGGUGACCGGCCACAUUGGGACUGAGAUACGGACCAGACUCGUACGGGAGGCAGAAGUGGGGAGUAUUGCACAAUGGGCGGAAGCCUGAUGCAGCAACGCCGCGUGCGGGAUGACGGCCUUCGGGUGGUAAACCGAUUUCGCCUGUGACGAAGCGUGAGUGACGGUAAUGGGUAAAGAAGCACCGGCUAACUACGUG